AGCAGCCGCGGUAAUUCCAGCUCCAAUAGCGUAUAUUAAAGUUGUUGCAGUUAAAAAGCUCGUAGUUGAAUUUCGGGGUUAGUAGGUUGGUCAUGCCUCUGGUAUGUACUGGUCUCACUGAUUCCUCCUUCCUGAUGAGCCGUAAUGCCAUUAAUUUGGUGUUGCGGGGAAUUUGGACUGUUACUUUGAAAAAUUAGAGUGUUUAAAGCAAGCUAACGCUUGAAUACAUUAGCAUGGAAUAAUGAAAUAGGACGUUCGAUCCUAUUUUGUUGGUUUCUAGGAUUGACGUAAUGAUUAAUAGGGAUAGUUGGGGGCAUUAGUAUUUAAUUGUCAGAGGUGAAAUUCUUGGAUUUAUUGAAGACUAACUACUGCGAAAGCAUUUGCCAAGGAUGUUUUCAUUAAUCAAGAACGAAAGUUAGGGGAUCGAAGACGAUCAGAUACCGUCGUAGUCUUAACCAUAAACUAUGCCGACUAGGGAUCGGAUGAUGUUAAUUUUUAAUGUACUCAUUCGGCGCCUUAA
rnacentral:misc_RNA from 1 species